rnacentral:rRNA from 1 species
GACGAACGCUGGCGGCGUGCCUAACACAUGCAAGUCGAACGCGAAAGACCCCGCAAGGGGCCUGUAGAGUGGCAAACGGGUGAGUAACACGUGGGUGACCUGCCUUCGAGCGGGGGAUAACGUCCCGAAAGGGACGCUAAUACCGCAUGACAUCCUGCCUUUGAAGAGGCGGAGAUCAAAGCCGGGGAUCGCAAGACCUGGCACUCGAUGAGGGGGCCCGCGCCUGAUUAGCUAGUUGGUGAGGUAACGGCUCACCAAGGCAACGAUCAGUAUCCGGCCUGAGAGGGCGGACGGACACACUGGGACUGAGACACGGCCCAGACUCCUAC